CGGCAAGGCAGUUUGGCAAGGAAGCGAAGGAAGGAAACGAAAAUGUUGACUGGCAGUUAAUGGAAAAGUUUUGGUUGUGGUCAGCUAGCUGCACAAGCUGUAUCUAGCUACCCUUGUUGUCUGUUUUUCAUCAGAGAUGUCUAAAUAUUGCCAUGACCAGAAAUUACUUUGCAGAAAAGCUAUCAUCGUCACGAACUACC